rnacentral:rRNA from 1 species
AGCUCCAAUAGCGUAUAUUAAAGUUGUUGCAGUUAAAAAGCUCGUAGUUGGAUUUCUGGUAGGAAUUGAUGAGUCGGCGCUUAGCGUGUGAACUUAUUCGAUUCCCGCCAKCCUAGGGAAAACACUUGUUGGCAUUUAGUUGUCGACUUGUUGAUUCCCUUCGUUUACUGUGAAAAAAUUAGAGUGUUCAAAGCAGGCUUAUGCCAUUGAAUAGUCCAGCAUGGAAUAAUAAGAUAGGACUAAUGUCUAUUUUGUUGGUUUGUUGAUGUUAGUARUGAUUAAUAGGGAYAGUUGGGGGUAUUCGUAUUCAACGGCCAGAGGUGAAAUUCUUAGACUCAUUGAAGACGAACUACUGCGAAAGCAUUUACCAAGGAUGUUUUCAUUA